UACGUAGGGGGCAAGCGUUGUCCGGAAUUAUUGGGCGUAAAGAGCGUGUAGGCGGCCAUGUAGGUCCGUUGUGAAAACUCGAGGCUCAACCUCGAGACGCCGAUGGAAACCAUGUGGCUAGAGUCCGGAAGAGGAGUGUGGAAUUCCUGGUGUAGCGGUGAAAUGCGCAGAUAUCGGGAGGAACACCAAUUGCGAAGGCAGCUCGCUGGGACGUUACUGACGCUGAGACGCGAAAGCGUGGGGAGCAAACAGG
rnacentral:rRNA from 1 species